UUUACACUAGAAAUGGGGAUGCAAUUGGAUCAACCGGGUUAGGUAAAUCUGGAUCGAAUCACCUGAUUCCUGGGUGCAUAUAAAAACCCCUGAAUCAGAAUCAGAGUGAUUUCACUUAUCGGGUUUUCACCUUUCCCAUCCUUCGAACACAGGCUUCUGAAUACCGAACGUGGAUUGAGGGAUUAGCUUCGUCGAUCGACUGAAGAAAGGGGUGUUUUCCAGAUUGUAG